AAGAGGAAAAAAAGGAGAAUACUUUUAUUGCCUUUCUUCCCUGAAUCACUUCCAAGGUGCUUAAGGAUUUAUUGGGCCAGAUAGCAAAUUGCAGCUGAGAUGCUGUGCAGUGGCCAGUGCUGAUUAGAUGAUUGAUUAAUUCCUGAUCGAUUUCUGAUUCCCAACCUGAAUCACAUUAUAAAUGCUCGAUAUUAAAAUGCAGUUUGUGCCGAAAUCUGAUUGCAGGAGCCAGUUGGAAAUACCACAAUAUUCCUAAUUUUUGUUAUAUUUUUUAACCCUUUAAGGAAGUGCUUGGUUGUUCCUCAGUGCUUUAGAGCCAUGAAAUGCUUGUUCGCAGGAGGUUUGUGGAAAUACCACAAUGUUCCUAUUUUUUUGUUGGAUUUUUUAACCCUUUAAGGAAGUGCUUGGUUGUUCCUCAGUGCUUUAGAGCCAUGAAAUUCUUGUUCACAGGAGGUUUGUGCACAAUCCCUGGAAUAACACGAGACAAUUCCCAGAGCACAAACUCCACGUCCACCUGCACCUCCAACCGCUGCCAAACCGCUUUUAAUUUUGAUUUUUUCCUGCUUUUUCCGCCCUAAAUUCUGCUCCCUCCUGCACGAGGAGGGAGGAGGGUUGAGGAGUUCAAGGCGUGGGCUUCCCAAAGGUACAAUCCCAGUUCUGCACACGGGGCUGGAGCUCGGGGAGAGCGGCCUCGGUGCCAACUGUGCCGCAUUCCUGCUGCCCUGCCUUUUUCCCAGGGCUCCCAAGGAAAGAGCAUCCCAGUUCCUCCUCGCUCUUGGGAACACACACAUUGUUUCAAUAAUCCAGGCAAUAAAUGCUAAUUAGUAAUGCUUAAGGACCCUACCAGUCGGAGUAAUUAUCAUAAUUUACCUCUUCCUCGGUAAAAAAAAAAAAAAAAAAAAAAAUGUUUUUUGCAGAUUUUUUUAUUUUUUAAAAUUUUUUUUUCCAAAUGGUGUUUUCUCCCUUUUUUUUUUUCUCUCGUUGGAUUAGCAAUAAAUAUCUAGACACGGGUACGGGGAGCUGGAGCUGAGCAUGUGUAAAAGAUUUUCCCACACGUCAAAAUUUCUUUAAAACCUGAAAUUUUUUUUUUCCCUUGGCCUCCCCUGUGCGCUCUCCCCUCCUUCCCCAGCAGCACCAAAAACCACUUGCAGAGGGAGAACAAAGGAAAUCAGCAACUCCAAAGGCAUCAUUAACUAUGAGGAGCAACAGCAAGACAGAGUGUGAUAUGACAACAUAUUUUAUGGCACAAAAGUAGAGAUAAUUAAAUAAUUCAGUGGUAUUCUUAGCUAAUUAGCACAAAGAUCUUUCAGAAGCCAUCAAGAAAAUGGAUCUCAUCAAACCUAAUAGCACGUGGGCUUUCCCCAAGAUCCUGAGUUUUCCAGUCUCGCUGCUGCUUCCCCACCUGAUCCUGUAACACCAAAAGGGUUGCACAAUUUAAUUGGGCUCUUCCUCAAGAUAAUAUUUUCCAUGGAAGGGGAUCAGGUAUUCAGAGGAAAUGAAUAUGCAUAGCUGGAAUUUUCAAUAUUAGUCAAUAGCGGAGGAGAAGCCAGAUCUCUUACGAGGGAUCCAUUUGAAAGAUUCAAUUUUCCGCCUCUCUUGGGUUCAUUGGGGUGGAGCUGGCAUUUGGAGCUGCUGGAGUCCAGGACCUUUUUAUUUCAUAAUUUAUAUUAAUUGGGGUUCUGGAUUGGCUGGUUUCAGCUUUUCUUGGGCAUUGAGAAAUGUGUGGCCAAGUCCAGAGGAGGUUUGGGACCUCUGGUUUAACCUGGGCUCUCAUUCCAAGUUCAAAACCAAACUGGGAAAAGCUCCAUCAUCAUCUGUGGAGUUGUUUUAGGUCUUCAGUAGGAUGGCUACAACUCUCAUGGCAUGAAAAUGUAUUUUUUUCCUUUGGAUUCAUGAAUUUUUUACCUGGAAUCAGUGGCUGAUGGUGCUGAGCUCAAUCCAGGUUGGCAAUCCACAGAUCCAUGGGCGAGGAUUGCAGGGCAUUGAUCCUUCCUGGCAAACUCAGCGAGGCACGUUCUCAGUAAUUAGGUGCAUCAAAUAUUGCUCAGAAUAUCUCUCUGUAUUAUUCAGAAUAUCUCAUUACGCUCCUUUGAUCCGAAUGCACCCCCAAGUUCACGAGAGGCGUUUGCAAAUCCCAUUCUCUGCCUCUGUGUUUGAUUAUUUGGGGUUCCUUUUCCCUCUGCCAAACAAAGGAAUGCCUGAAAAUUUGACUUUGCCAGCCAACUAAAAAUCUCCUGCUUUAAAUACCAGAAGGGGAUGUGCAUCAGUCUGGGAUUCAGCAAUAAUUCUGGUUUUCACCCUGGGCCCAGACUGAAUUUUCCUCCUGUGUUACAGUUUUGGUGCUUUUCACUCCGUGGAUACCCACACAAGUUCUGCAGUGGGGUAAGAUUUGACAGUUUGGGAUUGUGGUUAUGCAUGGAGGGGAAAAACCUGAAAUUGUCCCUAGAAAAUGGAAAUGGAUUUUUCCCUGCCCAAAAAGAGGUGGAGACUUGUUUGUAGAAGGUAAAAGGAGGGAAUAGGAGAGGAAAAGGCACCCAAAAGUGCUUUGGGCAAGGGAGCAAAGCACACCAAGAUAUUUCUGUCUCAUGGUUUACAGGGCUGCUGUUCUUUAAGCAGAAAUUCUUCCUUUCUGGAAAUUUCUGGUUGGGAAUGAGGUUCUGACAUGCCUGGUGUACCCCACAUGUAACAAUGAAGCCCAUGGUACUUCUGUGAAAAAGUAAUUUAUUUUUUCUCUUCUGUUUUUCUGUCGUUCACCCAAUGCUCCGGCUCUGUGUUUGAAUAUAUGAGGGCAUUCCAGCAUUCCAACCAAUUAAAAAAAAAAAAAAAAACAAAGUAUAAUUUUAUAAUUUCCAAGAUGAGAGAGGAAUCUCUGCUUUCCUUGGUGAGCCUGCCUGCAAUUGUUUUCCUUUAACAGCUCUUCCCACACUGCAGUCAAUGAAUCUCUAAUCUCCUGGACUGAAAUGUCUGACACUUCCAGCAUCGUUUCUUUGCUGCCUCGGCUCGCAGAGCUCCACCUACAGCAGUGUCUCAGCAGUGGGCUGCUGGUGGAUCUGAGAGAAAUGUCUGGUUUUUUUGGGGUGGGAGGGAUGGAUGGAUGGAUGGAGGGAUGAGCAGGGGCUCUGCUGUGCUCUGUGUGCCUCUCACACCACCCUUCCAGCCAGGACCUGAGGGACGAGGAGUGGAUGAGCUCUGGCUGGAUAAAUUGAGUUUAUUCCACGGCCGCUCUCACCAAACACCAGCACUGAGCCAGCCCCGGUGCUCUGUGCUGCUGCACCCCUCUGGAAGGAGGGCAGCAGGGCGAGGAGGAGAAGCUCAGCUCUGAGAGAAGUCUCCAAACUGCUCCCCAAGAAGCUGAACUGUCCCUGGAAGCUGGGCCUGGUGCUCCCAGGUCAUUCCACCCUUCCCACCCGAGUGCCCUGCUGGCGGCUUCGCUCUGAGGAUGGAUUCUGCAAGAAAUGCUGAGAAACAUCACAAAUGCUGAGGGUUGAGAGGAGUCCUCUCCGUGCACGGACUCCUUUGUGGAUAAAGUCACGCUCACCUGGAUCCCAGCUCCUCCAGAACCACCAGGUGCGGGGAAGGAUCCCAAAUUCACCACCAGUGGACUUUGGUUUGGCUUUGGUGUGCUUGUGUCAUGUCUGAACGUGCAAAGAUCUUGGUUUUCCACAAGGAAUGCAGUAAACGGCACCUCUGUCAAUCAGUCA